CUACGGGUGGCAGCAGUGGGGAAUAUUGCACAAUGGGCGCAAGCCUGAUGCAGCCAUGCCGCGUGUAUGAAGAAGGCCUUCGGGUUGUAAAGUACUUUCAGCGGGGAGGAAGGGAGUAAGGUUAAUACCUUUGCUCAUUGACGUUACCCGCAGAAGAAGCACCGGCUAACUCCGUGCCAGCAGCCGCGGUAAUACGGAGGGUGCAAUCGUUAAUCGGAAUUACUGGGCGUAAAGCGCACGCAGGCGGUUUGUUAAGUCAGAUGUGAAAUCCCCGGGCUCAACCUGGGAACUGCAUCUGAUACUGGCAAGCUUGAGUCUCGUAGAGGGGGGUAGAAUUCCAGGUGUAGCGGUGAAAUGCGUAGAGAUCUGGAGGAAUACCGGUGGCGAAGGCGGCCCCCUGGACGAAGACUGACGCUCAGGUGCGAAAGCGUGGGGAGCAAACAGGAUUAGAUACCCGCGUAGUC
rnacentral:rRNA from 1 species